AACAAACAAACAAACUAAUGAAAAGAUUCCAGUCGAAAUAAGCUUACUCUGUGGUCCUAUGAAAAUUCUAGCUUUAGCUACAAACAUCUGCCCUACAACAUUCGAGCCUACAUAAAAUUUGAGGGUUUAAGCUGUUACUUGAAGACUGAGGAGUGAAAGAUGAUGCAGAGGCUGGAGGCGGGCCGGCUGAAUGGUGGAGGCGGGGGCGAUUGAGUGAAUACGGCAGAAUUUACAGUGAACUAAUAAAUUUAUAACUAAAAAUCUAGGUUUUAAAGUUUCCAUUGCUAAACAUUUACCAAAAUUUGUUCUUUCUAAAGUAGAGCCCUAAUCAUUCUAUAUUUACAAUUAUAAUCUUUCCUAAUAGAAUACUUACCAUACUUAACAUGGCAGAGGAGGUGGGCAGCGGCGGUGGAUGGCGAUUUCUAGCCCGGUGGCCGAGUGGCGGCAGACGAAGAGAAGCAGACAGAGGCGAUUGCGUCAGCAGCAGCGAGAAACUGGCGGCAACCUGGAAUGUUUUGCGAAUUCUUCGGAGAUUGGUGGCAGGGAUUUCUCCCCCGCUAGAUCUGAGAGAUGUGAAGAGCGAGAGAGGAAGAGUUCUUCAGUCAGUAAGACUACAAUGAAACAGAAAUAAAAAUCACAGGGCAUUUUUCAAAUCCGGACUCAGAGAGGCCGAAGAAGAAUAAGAUGAGAAUGGGCGGCGGAUUAGGGUUGGGAUUGGGGGCGGGAUUGUUGGAGGAUUGCUGGUGGGAGAUAUGGCGUCGGAUAUUGGGGAAUCGUCGGCCUAUGCUGAUGGCUAUGGUGAUGCCAUGGGCGACAUGGGCGGCUGGAGAAAGCGGAGGACGGCGCGGCUGGAUUCGCGAAAUGGGCGGCUGGAGGACGACCACAAAGUUUGAGAAGGAUUGGGAGAUUGGAUUUGAGAUAGAUUUGCAGAUAGGGAUGAAGAGAGAUUUGAGAAGGAUUUACAGAUCAAUUGAUAAUUUAAUUUUGUAACGGUGAUUGAGCAUGAGAUUUGCAUAUGAUGGAGAGAAAUUUGAGAAGGAUUUGCUCAUCUGAAAUUGUAACGGUAAUUGUUUAAAGUAUUUGCAAAACUUAAGAAUGGAGGUGUAAAAUAAAGAAUAGAGAAUUAGAUAAAUCAAAAUGGAGAUUUUUGAGAGCGCCACGUAGGACAGAGAAUUGCUGUGGGCUCUCCAAAAUGUAUUGCUUUAUAGAAUUGAUAGAUUUGAAAAUGAU
rnacentral:lncRNA from 1 species